AAAAUCUUUAGAUGCAUCUAGAAAGCAGAAACCAGAACUGGAAAGGAAGGUAACAGUACAUAAAGUAACUAUUUCGCUCUGCCUAGAACACAUAAUAAAAUGGGAUUUCUAAGGUCAGUGACGACAACAACAAAGACUGCCAUUGCAGCCUCUGCCUUGCCUGCGGCCUUCACUCUCUAUUCCUCUCAAUCUUCAACUCCUAAUCCCAAACCCCAUAACCUCUCUUUUCUCUCAAUCUCCUCUUCUUCCCUUCGCCCUCCAACUCGCUUCGGCCUGGCAAAAAACUUGGCUUCUCCUCCCUUCGCUGUUAAAAUGGACGCACCGACAUCAGAUCGCAAACACACCCCUCAGGAAGAUGCAGUCUUGCCCGAGCUACUUACAGAAUUCAUGGUGGAUAUGAAGUGUGAAGGUUGUGUUAAUUCUGUCAAGAAUAAGUUGCAGACCGUUAAUGGAGUGAAAAAUGUGGAGGUGGACUUGGGCAAUCAAGUGGUGAGAGUUCUUGGUUCUUCACCAGUAAAAACGCUGACUGAAGCUCUGGAGCAGACAGGUCGGAAAGCCAGGUUGAUUGGCCAAGGAGUCCCUGAAGACUUUCUAGUGUCUGCUGCUGUUGCUGAAUUCAAAGGUCCAGAUAUUUUUGGUGUGGUUCGCUUUGCUCAGGUAAAUAUGGAGUUGGCUAGGAUUGAAGCCAACUUUAGUGGGUUGUCACCUGGGAAACACGGCUGGACUAUCAAUGAGUUUGGUGAUCUGACAAGAGGUGCAGCAAGCACAGGGCAAGUGUAUAAUCCUGCUGAUCAAGAAUCUGGAAAAGAGCCACUUGGCGACCUGGGAACAUUAGAGGUUGAUGAGAAAGGAGAUGCAUUCUUCUCAGGUGUGAAACAGAAGCUAAGAGUUGUUGAUCUUAUUGGGAGAUCAGCGGUGGUAUAUGGAACAGAAGAUAAAUCAAAUGGUGGUCUCACGGCAGCAGUAAUUGCUAGAAGUGCUGGGGUUGGCGAGAACUACAAGAAGGUAUGCACAUGUGAUGGGACCAUAAUAUGGGAAUCAAGUAAUAAAGAUUUUGUCACCAGCAAGGUUUGAUAAUUCUUGUAAACCAACACAUAGUUGAGCAUUUACACAUUUUGUUCACCUAACGAGGUGUUUGUUGUUUUUUACGUGUAUCACCUGCUUGAAUGGUUUUGUUAUCUAGUAAAAAUAACACUAAUAAGCACGGCCUGUUAUUUGAAUGGCAUUGAUUAUGUUUAUGAACUGUAGACUUUUAUCUAAUAAAAAAAUAAUAAUAAGAGCAGUCCUGAUAUUUUUUACGGAAUUGGUUACGCAUGGAUGAGCCACUCGAGUAAAUGGUUUAGAAUUCCUCCCUAGUUUUGUGAUAGGGUCGGCAAUCUCGCCUGGUUUGUAGCUUUGCAUGGUUGACAGAUUGUAAUGAGACACCAUGGCUUUCGUCACGGACCUAGUGAUCUCAACAUCAAAGCCGUGCAGCACUUAGCCAAUUGGGUGGACAAAGUUAGCUUGAACUUUGUAGCGCGAUAAAUAGACUAACAAGAGCGACAAAAGUCACUCAAGGAAGCCAAGCGCACAAAGGAAACAAAGGAAGAGAAUUUGGCAAAGGAAAAUUUGUGUUGCUUUUGAAGGCUUUUGUGUACGAGUUAGUUGCAAUACACUUGAAAAUAUGGAAUAUGAAUGCAAAUGACUUGCUAAGUUUUUAUUUAUAGGCUUCUCAAUCUCCUUAACAUGUGGUGGAAAAUGCACUUUUAAAU
rnacentral:misc_RNA from 1 species